rnacentral:rRNA from 1 species
UAGCUUGCUAGUGGUCGACGAGUGGCGGACGGGUGAGUAACGCGUAGGAAUCUACCUAGUAGUGGGGGAUAGCCAAGGGAAACUUUGGGUAAUACCGCAUACGAUCUAAGGAUGAAAGGGGGCCUCUCUUUGAAGCUCUCGCUAUUAGAUGAGCCUGCGUAAGAUUAGCUUGUUGGUGGGGUAAUGGCCCACCAAGGCGACGAUCUUUAGCUGGUCUGAGAGGAUGAUCAGUCACACUGGAACUGAGACACGGUCCAGACUCCUACGGGAGGCAGCAGUCGGGAAUAUUGGACAAUGGGGGAAACCCUGAUCCAGCCAUGCCGCGUGUGUGAAGAAGGCCCUAGGGUUGUAAAGCACUUUUAGUAGUGAGGAAGGCUCAGUAGUUAAUACCUACUGGGAUUGACGUUAGCUACAGAAAAAGCACCGGCUAAUUUCGUGCCAGCAGCCGCGGUAAUACGAAAGGUGCAAGCGUUAAUCGGAAUUACUGGGCGUAAAGCGCGCGUAGGCGGCUUGGUAAGUUGGAUGUGAAAGCCCCGGGCUCAACCUGGGAACUGCAUCCAAAACUGCCUAGCUAGAGUAUGGUAGAGGAUGGCGGAAUUUCCUGUGUAGCGGUGAAAUGCGUAGAUAUAGGAAGGAACAUCAGUGGCGAAGGCG